GAUGAGGAUUUUGUGGGUCGGGAUGAUUUUGAUGAUGCUGACCAGCUGAGGAUAGGAAAUGAUGGGAUUUUCAUGUUAACUUUUUUCAUGGCAUUCCUCUUUAACUGGAUUGGGUUUUUCCUGUCUUUUUGCCUGACCACUUCAGCUGCAGGAAGGUAUGGGGCCAUUUCAGGAUUUGGUCUCUCUCUAAUUAAAUGGAUCCUGAUUGUCAGGGUAAGUUGUACAACAGAAAAGAUGGGCUGUACAGAGAGGCAAUAAUUAGAAUAUUUUUGAAUAUUUGAUUUUUCAUUUGCUUUUUUAAAAGUUAUUUCAACUUGUUAAAUGAUUUUUGGUUUGUCUGUGGUUUCAUGAUGAAGCUGAACCAAAAUCAUUUGUAAAUGGUUCAUGCACACAAGUUUUGUUGUCAAAUCUAUUGAAAACUGGUCUAUCAUUAAUAUUGUUCACCAUCUGCUUUCUUUGUUUUUAAUGUUUAUAAUAUGAUAAUGUAUAUGUUCUGAAAUUAGUUGUUUUUAUAAUAAAAGGAAGGAUAUUACCCCUUUGAUAUCUC
rnacentral:sRNA from 1 species